GUACAGGAUCUUUUAAGAUCCACCAUCCCUCCCCCAACAAAUGACAU
rfam:Camelus ferus unplaced genomic scaffold scaffold1441, whole genome shotgun sequence.